AAAGUCGUAACAAGGUUUCCGUAGGUGAACCUGCGGAAGGAUCAUUACUGAUUUUGCAAACCGAGCGUUAGCAAGGUUUUGCGAUCAACUUUAUAUAUUUAAAACCCACUCUUUAUAUUGUAUAUUUUUUUUUUAUUUUGAAUGAUAAAAAAUUAAUCAUCACUUUCAACAACGGAUCUCUUGGCUCUC
rnacentral:misc_RNA from 1 species